CUUUGUUUGAGCGGCCGGAGGGCGGCGUCGGGACGCGAGUCCUUCGGGUCGGGGUCAUGGUCCCUCCUGAAGCCAGAGAGGCCUGCACGGGCCGGGGGCUGUUCUCACAGGACCGUGUCACCCAUGCUGUACGGACACAGCCCCUUGUUGGUGCUGGGUGAGGGCCGUAGCUGGCCUUUCACUUCAAGGGAAGCUAUGAAAUACUGAGCUUUGCGGGGACUUGAAAGGCAGGAUGGCCUCGGUGUCCGAGGGAGGGGGGCGCUGACUCUCGCAGUGGGGUCUUCUGGGAGUCUGUCGAAUUCUGGCGAAGGAACCGGUCUCGCCUGGCCAGCAGAUAGGUCGGAGGGUUUCAAAUGAAUGCCGAAGGCGAGCUGGAAUUCCAGAGGUGAAAGGUCCUUUUUCAAGCAAAGUCCCCGCUGCAAACACUUCCCUUUUGUCACCUUCGGAGUCACCUGUGCGGACCAAGACUCAGAAAUUACCAUGAGAUGAAACCGUGGCAACUGUUUCGUUGCACUUCUGAGCAGAAUGGCUUAAAAAUAGUACCCCGCCCCCUUUCCAAUGUGUGGAAGUACUUUGUUUCGUAUCUUGGAAGGUCAUAACUGUUCUCCAGCUGUGAAUAUGAUUCAGAACGAGCUUUUUUUUUUUCAUUUGUGCAACCAGUGUUUAGUAAAAGCCGCCUGCUUGCUAGAAACUUGUGUUAGGCACCUUUUGGGAACUAAACUUUAUUAUGGAAGAUGAGCUGGACACUUAAUUUUAAUAGCAGUGUAUUUGAAACCAGAAAUAUUCCCAUUAUCUCUUAUAGUGGGAGAGAGAUAUUGUCCCAUCCUUUCUUUGAUAGAACAGUUUUUUAAAUGUUGUAGUGUGGUGUAGUGUGCUCUGGGGUGGUUUAAGGACUGAUGCAUCUGGGAGGACCAGUUGGCAUAAUGACUUUGAUGAGAUUACGUAGCACAGCCAAAAGUGCACCUGUUGGGUGUACCCAGAAUCUCUUCCUUAGGCAAACUGUGGGUAGAAGUGAGUUCUAUUUAUUUUUCUUAUAAUCAUUAGUAGAGACUGAGUGAGAAGUGUUUUAGAAGAUCUGGCCUUUGCUGUUGAGGAUUAAAUUGGGUGUGGAUAACUUGUGGCUGGGCUUUGGUGAAUGUCUGAUGCUGGUUAACACUCUACUAAGCUAAAGGGAACAUGCUUGAUCAGGUAAUUUUUCCUUUGAGGUAUCUCUAAGCCCUGAGAUGUAUGGAUCUUAUGCCCUAGAGUAAAAUUUAGUUCCUGGUCUUUCACCCCUUUCCAUCACACAUGCUAUUUAACUUUUUUCUUUCAACCUGAACACUCAUUGUUCUUUUCUUCUACCCACCCCCCCACCUUUUUUUUUUUUUUUUUUUUUUGCUUCACCUUUCUUACUCUCCUUCUCCUUUAUAUAGAAAGGUUAGUCUCUGGGUACAGUACCUGCUUCCUGUUGUGAAAUGCCUUUUUUCCCCCUGUUUUUAUGUAUCCUUCAAUAAAGUAAAAUUUCUCUAAAAGGAUCUUUUGGAAUCUUUAUCAUGUGAUGUCUGUACCAUCUGUCCUGUUGGAAAAGUCUCUCUUUUUUUUUUUUUUCUGCCCCAAGUAAGAGAAGUCAAUUCUGUGAGUGUGCCAGGGUGGAAGCCCUAAAAAAAGGUGGCUGGAGCCAUUGCCAGAGGCAGCUGUCCUUAUAUCAUGCUGCUUGUUCCCUUGACCCAGGUGCCUCCUCAUUGUGGGCACACUGUUCAUAGAAGCCCAUCCCACCGCUGGGUACUUUUCCUGGAUAUACUUACAGUUAUGUUUCAGCACAUUGUCUUUCGUUAGGAGAUAAAUUUACUUCAGAAAGGAGCAGUAUAGCCUAGGAGGAACAGAUGCAUUCUUGUUUCUUUCACCCUCCUAUGUGAGUUAGUCUCCCAAAAGAGCAUAGUGUGACUGUUAAUGACAAGCUUUGAUGAAAACAUUGUUACUUCUUCUUUUCUGAAGCUUGUUUUUUUUGUUUGUUUGGUUUUUUAAAGAUUUUAUUCAUUCAUUUGAUAGAGCACAAGCAGGGGGAGCAGGAGAGAGAGAAGCAGUCUCCCCACUGAGCAGGGAGCCCAACACAACAGGGGGCAACAUGGGGCUCUAUCCCAGGACCCUGGGAUCAUGACCUGAGCCACCCACGUGCCCCAUGAAGCUUGUUUUUAAAAGUAAUAUUUUUUCUUAGGGUUUUAUAUGUCAUAAUUUUAAAAUAUAUAUAAUCCCAGCCCCAGUUUGUGUUCAUCUGAAUUUUUCUCUAAAUCAUACCUGUUUGUAUAAUUUUGUCAUGCCCACAGCUUGAUAUGGGAAGCCUUUUGUCAAAUUUGAGUGGAGAAGUUAGGAAAUCAGUUUAUUAGCUGAUCCUUUGACUGUUUGGAGGAUAUUGUUAAUUUCACUUACCACCUACUGCAUCCUGGGCACUAUGUUAGCCACAGGGCAAGCAACAUUGAGUAAGACGGACACAGUCCCAGCCUUCCUUGAGCUUAUAGUCUAGUGGGGGAGAAAGACAUUCGUUGAAUAAGUACUUAGAAACAUGUUCCAAGUGUGUGUGAUUUGGGGGAAGGUGAAGGGGAGAAGCUAGUUUGGGUCAUUGGGGACUGCUUCUCUGAAGAAAAGAUUUAAGCAGAGCCUAAAGGAUAAAUAGAAGUGAGUGAGGCCAAGGCAAAGCUGCAACUGGAGGUUGCAACGAAGAAUUUUUAGCUACAGGGAAUGUCACUAUGAAGGCCCCAAGGCGGGAUAGAGACAGGUGAGUGAGGAAAGGAAAGACCCACAUGGCUGCAGAGUUUAGAGUGAGGCUAAGCCUCCAACAAGGCUGCAGGGGUGGGUAGGAAGCUUGAUAGGCCCCUGCAGGGUCUCUUACGCUGUUAGAAACACCGUGGAGUGGUUGGAGUGUGUGAAAGAGAGAGAAAUGAUGAGAUUGUUUAAAAGCUUACUUUGAUUGCAUUUAUUGUAUUUUGCUAAAUACUGUAUUUAUUUUGUGAGUUUCUCUUGCCUCUUGAAUUAAACUGGUAGGUAUCAAUUACUGAAAGUUGGAAGCAUCAUCAAAGCCCGAGAGUAGCAUCUUAAUUGCUUACAUGAGUGUAGUGCUAAAAUACAGAAAUACAAGCAGUCCCUUUCCCUAAUACACUAGGUAUUAUACUCAGGUACCCUGUGCUCCUUAAAAGGAAAAUGAAAAAGAAAAAAAAGCGAGAGAGAAACCAAGAGCGUAUGUGUAUUUUCUUCAACAGCCCUGAGCCAUCCCACUUUUUAAGCAUCAGAACAUUGGACAUUCUGGGAUUUAGUGUCAAGCCCUCUCUUCAAAUAUUAGAUUACACCUGGAAUGAAAGGGAAAGGAUCAGACACUUCACAAAUACCUAUAUUGUGUGAGACCCAGAGCUAGGCAUUGUGUUUGUUAUUUGUAUCUUUCAAGCCCUAAAAGUUGGUCAGGGAAUAUUAUACAUGCUCGGUUGUAAAUUAAUGCUCUACAGUAGAACGCUAGUUGAGGAAUCAGUUGAUAGCAGCUCUGUCACUGCCAGCUUCAGAGUCACUUUAUCAUUCUGAGCUUAGCAUCUUCCUCCAUAAAAAUGAUGAGAUUUACCAGUUAGUAAUUAUAAAAGUAGUAACUCAAUAAUGUUCCAGGCACUAUUCUAAACAUUUUACAUGGAUUAUCUCAUUUAAUCUUCACGGCAAUUUUAAGAAGCAGUUGCCUUUAUUAUUCCCAUUUUCCAGAUGAAGAUAUUGAGACACAGAAAGGUGAAGGAACUGGCCCAAGGUCACACAGUAAGUGGCUUCAGAGUCAUUGCUCCAUUACAUAAUACUUUGAAAGGUCCUUCCUGCUUGAUCAUUAUAUAAUUCUAGCUGAUUCAUAAUGCACCUAUAUUUAAAGUAUGUUGACCUAGAAUAGCAGACUCUAUUUGGGGGUAGGAGGAAGGGAGGAGUUCAGGAGUGAGGAAGAGUUUGCUCAGCUUUGUGCAUAUGUUUUGUCACAAGGAAAUUUUCUGAGCUGUGCUAUGAGCUUUCUGCUUUGCAGUUUUAGGUCCCUUUCCUGCUCACUCAGCAAACAGGAGGACUGCUGCCCUGAGCUCUAUCCAGCUGCAGGCUUCAUGGGCCCAACCAGCAGGUUAGGGCACAAGCACAUUGCAGUAUGCAUUCCAGAAAUAACAAAAGCUUGCAUAAUACUGACCAGAUGGUUGUCUGAGGAGGUGCUAUAAUUUUGCUUACUAACCCCCCCCAACCCAGGUGGAGGAGGGUGACUCUUGCCUGUAUAUGUUUGUGCUGUAUAAACAGUGCCAAGAGGACAUCUAGAAUGUGAGUGAUCCAGAGCAAGAUUCUCAUGGUCUCAUAACCACUGGCCAACCUUUUUGUUGUUGUUGUUUUAACAUUUUUAUUGAGAUAAUGAUUCACUUAUCGUAAAUUUCACCACUUAAAGUAUACUAGUUAAUAGUUUUUAGUGUAUUUAGAGUGUAACCAUCACCACAAUUUUAAAACAUUUGCAUUAUCCCCAAAAGAAACCCAGUUUGCAAUCAUUCCCACCCCACCCCCUCUUGCCUUUGACAACCACUAAUCUUAUGUCUGUGUAAACUUGUCUGUUCUAGACAUUUCAUAUAAAGGAAAUCAUACAUAAUGUGGUCUUUUGUGACUGACUUCUUUUACCUAGUAUAAUGUUUUUUGGGUUCACGAAUGUAUAAUAUGCAUCAGUACUUCAUUUCUUUUUAUUACAAAUAAUACUCCACUGUACGGAUAUACCAUAUUUUGUUUAUCCAUUCAUCAAUUGGAAAUUUGAGUUGCUCUAUUUGUUUGGGUUAUUAUGAGUAAAGGUUCUGUGAAUAUUUGUGUCAAGUUUUUGUGUGUACAUGUUUUUGUUUCUCUUGAAUGUAAACCUAGGAGUCGAGUUGCUGGGUCAUAUGGUAACUCUGUUGAAUAAUUUGGGGGAGCUACCAAGCCGUUUUCCAAACUGGCUGCACCAUUUUACAUUCUUAACAGUAAUGAAAGAAUGUUCCUAUUUCUCCACAUUCUCACCAACCUCCUUAUUAUCUGUGUUUUUUAUUAUAUCCAUUCCUGUGAGUGUGAAGUAGUAUCUCAUUGUGGUUUUGAUUUCUCUUUCUCUGAUGACUGUGUUGAUCAUCUUUUCAUGCACUUAUGAGCCAUUUGUAUAUCUUCUUUGGAGAAAUGUCUAUUUACAGCCUUUGCCCACUUGUUGACUGAGUUAUUUUGUCAUUAUGGAAUUGUAAGAGUUCUUUAUUCUGGAUAUAGUUUCCUUAUCAAAUAUAUGAUUUGCAAAUAUUUUUUCCUGUUCUGUAGAUUACCUUUCACUUUCUCGAUGGUAUCAUUUGCUGCACAAAAGUUUUUAAUUUUGAUUAAAAUUAAUUUUUAUCAAUUUUUUUUCUUUUAUUGCUUGUGCUUUUACUGUCAUAGCUUAAGAAACUAUUGCCUAACUUAACCCAAAGUCAUGAAGAUUUACUCCUGAUUUUUUCUAAGUUUUUAUAGUUUGAGCUCCUGCAUUUAGGUCUGUGGUCCAUUUUGAGUUAAUUUUUUUGUGUGAUGUGAGAGUUAAGGGUCACUUUUAUUUUUCACAUUCUCUGUGGUAUCCAGUGUUCAACUCUUUAUUCAUGAUUUCAGUGACGGGACCAUGGGCCAGUAUAUUUGAAUGUUUUAAAUGCGAAGGUUUGAAGUCAGAAAGCCCUGAGUUCAAAGUUCUCCUCUGCUACUUACUAGUGCUGACGCCUUGAGCAAGUUACUUACUCUCCCUGAGCCUCGGUUUUAAGAUGACAGCAAGAAUAAUAGCCAUACUAGGUUUAUUAUGAAGGUGAGAUGGAUAAUAUAUAUGAACCUGCCUGGUACAUAGUUCACUUACUGUUAGGUUAAUUGGACAGCUGUUUUCAUUAACGAUGCCAGAAAAAUUCAGUUGUUUAUUUUGUCUUUGUGCAAACUGUGGCUCCUCAUGGCUUCUGAGAGUAUAUGUAUCCUGAAUUCUUUCAGUCCUCCUUUUGGAAGUUGGAGUGGUAUAAUUUAUAAAGGAAAAUAUUCAAAUGAACCAUCAGAAUCUUGGAAUUGACUGUGUAGUCCUAUGACAGUCAUUCUUUUGAAUGAAUGCUGAUUACAGAUCAUGUAAUUUUGUGUAAUACUGUACUUU